rnacentral:rRNA from 1 species
GUCCACGCCCUAAACGAUGCAUAUUUGGUGUGGGUCAUUCAGUUGAUCCGUGCCGGAGCUAACGCGUUAAAUAUGCCGCCUGGGGAGUACAGUCGCAAGGCUGAAACUCAAAGGAAUUGACGGGGGCCCCGCACAAGCGGUGGAGCAUGUGGUUCAAUUCGACGCAACGCGAAGAACCUUACCUGGGCUCGAACGGCUGGUCAACGAUCGUGGAAACACGGUUACUCCGCAAGGGGUCCAGUCGAGGUGCUGCAUGGCUGUCGU